GACAGAGGUGCCAAGCGUUAGGCGGAAUCACUGGGCUUAAAGCGUGUGUAGGCGGGCGAUCAAGUACCUUGUGAAAUCCCACGGCUCAACCGUGGAACUGCUGGGUAUACUGGUUGUCUUGAGCCAGCUAGGGGCGAGCGGAACAGACGGUGGAGCGGUGAAAUGCGCAGAUAUCAGGAGGAACACCGGGUGGCGAAGGCGGGUCUCUGGGCCGAUACUGACGCUGAGGAGCGAAAGCGUGGGGGAGCGAACAGG
rnacentral:rRNA from 1 species